rnacentral:rRNA from 1 species
GACGAACGCUGGCGGCGUGCUUAACACAUGCAAGUCGAACGGAAAGGCCCUGCUUUUGUGGGGUGCUCGAGUGGCGAACGGGUGAGUAACACGUGAGUAACCUGCCCUUGUCUUUGGGAUAACUUCAGGGAACAGGGGCUAAUAUCGGAUAUGAUCUACUGCUGCGUGGUGGGGGUUGGAAAGAUUCGGCGGUGGGGGAUGGACUCGCGGCUUAUCAGCUUGUUGGGGGGGUAGUGGCUUACCAAGGCUUUGACGGGUAGCCGGCCUGAGAGGGUGACCGGCCACAUUGGGACUGAGAUACGGCCCAGACGCCUACGGGAGGCAGCAGUGGGGAAUAUUGCACAAUGGGCGGAAGCCUGAUGCAGCAACGCCGCGUGCGGGAUGACGGCCUUCGGGUUGUAAACCGCUUUCGACUGUGACGAAGCGGGAGUGACGGUAAUGGGUAAAGAAGCACCGGCUAACUACGUG